AAAACCCUAUGUAUGCAUGAGAGAAAAGUGAGCACCCAAAGUGAGCAAAAGAACAGAGUGACACUAUGACAUAGAUCGAGUGGCAUUUGAAAAUGAAAAGUAAAGAAACACUAGAGUUAGUGUGAUGCAAAGAACUAACGUGACGUAAAGAAUGAUGAAAAUGACAAUGUCUAAAGUUAAAGCAAUGUGGGCGUAAAGAACACGAAGUGCUAGAGGUAGCCAAAAGUAAAGAAUGUAAAGAAUAUAACCGCUAGAGUUAGCAAAAGCAAAGGAAAAUGUAAAGAACGUGAUUGCAUGAGUUUGCAACAUAAAGUGAUGUAAAGAACACUAGAGCUAGUGUAAAGUCAAGAUUGAACUUAUAAAUCCUUUGAGUGGAGGAUAUGAUCAUACUUGCUAUGAGUUCCGUGCUCGAGGGCGGUCGCUCCCCCUCGGGCGAUGCACUCCGGAGUUAUGCAUCACGGGUUGGAGUAAACCCGAAGGACGGUCCUAGCUGGUGAGUUCCUGCGAUGAUGGACUUAAUGUGAAGCAAGUUAAUGUGGCGAAGCCCCCGGGUUAGCCUUAAUGAUUAAAGAACAAAGAACAAAGAGCAAAGAAUAAAGAACAAAGUACAAAGUAAAGUCAAAGAAUGAAAGAAUUUGCAUAAUCUGCAUUUAUUUAAUGUUGAGCAUACUUCUUGCUUAUUGUUCAGGCAUAUUAGCAUCAUGUUAUAGAUUGGUUACUAUACAGCUUAUUCUUUCUAUUAUGCCUGAGUUAGACCUAGUGGGAAAGUCGGUGAUGUUGAGGCCGAACCCACUGGGAACUUUGUUGUAGUUCUCACCCCACUAUUUCCACAGAGCCGGGACCGAGCGAGCCGGCGAGCGACCGAGGUAAAGGUAUCGCGCCUUAGUCAGAGGCCACCAAAGUUGGGUUUCAUUUUGUAGUAAAGUACCCUAUGUCCAUCUUUUGUACAUGAUGAUUAGUGAUGUAAAGAAAAGAAUGUAAUGUGCAUUUUGAGGUAAAUGCGAUGUAUGAAAGAAAUGCAGGAAUGAUGUAAUGAAAUGCAAGAAUCCUAAAU
rnacentral:lncRNA from 1 species